GAUGAACGCUGGCGGCGUGCCUAAUACAUGCAAGUCGAGCGAACAGACGAGGAGCUUGCUCCUCUGACGUUAGCGGCGGACGGGUGAGUAACACGUGGAUAACCUACCUAUAAGACUGGGAUAACUUCGGGAAACCGGCGCUAAUACCGUAUAACAUGCUGAACCGCAUGGUUCAACAGUGAAAGACGGUCUUGCUGUCACUUCUCGAUGGAUCCGCGCCGCAUUAGCUAGUUGGUAAGGUAACGGCUUACCAAGGCAACGAUGCGUAGCCGACCUGAGAGGGUGAUCGGCCACACUGGAAGUGAGACACGGUCCAGACUCCUACGGGAGGCAGCAGUAGGGAAUCGUCCGCAGUGGGCGAAAGCCUGACGGAGCGACGCCGCGUGAGUGAAGGAGGUCUUCGGAUCGUAAAACUCUGUUAUUAGGGAAAAACAGAUGUGUAAGUAACUAUGCACGGCUUGACGGUACCUAAUCAGAAAGCCUCGGCUAACUACGUG
rnacentral:rRNA from 1 species